rnacentral:lncRNA from 1 species
CUUCCGACUUUGUAUGGCAUCUUUCUGAAUUUCCUCGACCGUCCGAGCUUCCAUAAUACCAUCCGAACUUCUCCAAUAAUAAGCUCCCCCAUUCAUCUACCGGACUACUCCAAAUGUUCUCUGGGCUUCACUAUCAGUUAAUUUUCUAUAGUGAUCGACUAUUCUCCGAAUCUCUUCCAGACUUCUUCCGGCCACGAACGACUUUACUCCGAACUCCUCCCGGACUCCUACAGGAGCCGGACUCCAUCCGAACUUCUACAACGGAUGAAUUUCAGAUGAAUUCCUACAAAAGCUGGAUCUCUACCCCGAACUUUUAUUGUAGGUGGACUUCAUCCGAACUCCUACAAGGGCCGGGCUCCGUCUGAACUUCUACAGUGGAUGGAUCACAGAUGAGCUUCUACAACGAAUAGGCUCCACCAGCAGGAUCUCUACUCCGAACCUCUUCCAGACUUCAUCAAGGAUCGAGCUUCUCCAACGAUGGGACUUCUACAGUAAGCGGUCUACUCCGAACUUCUACGACAAUCGGUCUCCAUUCGGACUUCUACGGUAAGCAGACUCCUUCUGGACUCCUACAGGAAUCGGACUCUGUCUGAACUUUUACAGUGGUUGGAUUUUGGGCGAACUUCUACAACGGACGUGCUCCAGUAGUUGGAUUUCUAUAGUGACCGACUGUCUCUGGUGUCUUCCGUACCUCUCCAGCCAUCAACCUUCGACAGCGCCAGCCGACCUUCCAUAGAUUCAUCCAGUCUCCUCCAACGGAUGAACUUCCACAACGCCUCCCGAAUUACGCUAUCAGCCGACCUUCUGUCGGAUUUCUCAUGCAAUCGGACCUCUCUGACGGACAAUCUUCAGACGAGCUUCCGCAUCAGGCAAAUCUCAGACGAACUUCUCUGGCAAUCAGAUUUCUACCGAACUUCACCAACGAAAAGUCUCUAUCCGAGCUUCUACAGCAGAUGACUCCCGCCUGUAGCAUCAGCACCCAAGGUAUCUGACAACAGUAGACUCGUCAGCAACCUCGAAAAUAUUCGAGCUUCUUUCGGAUGGCUGAGAUAGAGAGCCAUUCCGCUUCAUCAGACGUCCCAGUCGAGCUUCAGCC